UUCCCUUGGGGCACCCUCAGUGAAAAGUUGCUCACAGGACAACCGGCAUAAAGACUGCAUGCUCCUGCCGCCACUGCUGGUCACCAGCACGCCCGCUCAGAGGACUGCCCAGAGGGGACCCAGCCACCACCCGGUCUGGUGCCUGAACUGAGGGACCUUGUGCCCCACCCCCACCCCGCCCGGGACUCCUCCAGGGAGAGCCGGGCGGCGCCGCCGCGGGACUGGACAGCUCAGAGUGCGAAAGAGAAGC